rnacentral:rRNA from 1 species
AUCGAACGCUGGCGGCAUGCCUAACACAUGCAAGUCGAACGAGUGGAGGACGGGUGAGUAAUGUCUGGGCACCUGCGCGAUGGAGGGGGAUAACUACUGUAAACGUUAGCUAAAACCGCUUAACAUCCGUUCUGCCUAGAGUGGAGUAGCUAGUAGGGGGGGUAACGGCACACCUAGGCGACGAUGCCUAGCUGGUCUGAGAGGAUGACCAGCCACACUGGAACUGAGACACGGUCCAGACUCCUACGGGAGGCAGCAGUGGGGAAUAUUGCACAAUGGGCGAAAGCCUGACGCAGCAAUGCCGCGUGUAUGAAGAAGGCCUUCGGGUUGUAAAGUACUUUCAGCGAGGAGGCGUUACCUGAAGAGAAAGCACCGGCUAACUACGUGCCAGCAGCCGCGGUAAUUC